GAACUUCCGUUAAUUGAUUAUGACGUACUUGUACUGAUUGAGAUUUUAACACGAAGUGAGUGGCGAACGGGUGAGUAACACGUGGGUAACCUGCCCAGAAGUAGGGGAUAACACCUGGAAACAGAUGCUAAUACCGUAUAACAGAGAAAACCGCAUGGUUUUCUUUUAAAAGAUGGCUCUGCUAUCACUUCUGGAUGGACCCGCGGCGUAUUAGCUAGUUGGUGAGGUAAAGGCUCACCAAGGCAGUGAUACGUAGCCGACCUGAGAGGGUAAUCGGCCACAUUGGGACUGAGACACGGCCCAGACUCCUACGGGAGGCAGCAGUAGGGAAUCUUCCACAAUGGACGCAAGUCUGAUGGAGCAACGCCGCGUGAGUGAAGAAGGGUUUCGGCUCGUAAAGCUCUGUUGUUAAAGAAGAACGUGGGUAAGAGUAACUGUUUACCCAGUGACGGUAUUUAACCAGAAAGCCACGGCUAACUACGUGCCAGCAGCCGCGGUAAUACGUAGGUGGCAAGCGUUAUCCGGAUUUAUUGGGCGUAAAGCGAGCGCAGGCGGUCUUUUAAGUCUAAUGUGAAAGCCUUCGGCUCAACCGAAGAAGUGCAUUGGAAACUGGGAGACUUGAGUGCAGAAGAGGACAGUGGAACUCCAUGUGUAGCGGUGAAAUGCGUAGAUAUAUGGAAGAACACCAGUGGCGAAGGCGGCUGUCUGGUCUGCAACUGACGCUGAGGCUCGAAAGCAUGGGUAGCGAACAGGAUUAGAUACCCUGGUAGUCCAUGCCGUAAACGAUGAUUACUAAGUGUUGGAGGGUUUCCGCCCUUCAGUGCUGCAGCUAACGCAUUAAGUAAUCCGCCUGGGGAGUACGACCGCAAGGUUGAAACUCAAAAGAAUUGACGGGGGCCCGCACAAGCGGUGGAGCAUGUGGUUUAAUUCGAAGCUACGCGAAGAACCUUACCAGGUCUUGACAUCUUCUGACAGUCUAAGAGAUUAGAGGUUCCCUUCGGGGACAGAAUGACAGGUGGUGCAUGGUUGUCGUCAGCUCGUGUCGUGAGAUGUUGGGUUAAGUCCCGCAACGAGCGCAACCCUUAUUACUAGUUGCCAGCAUUAAGUUGGGCACUCUAGUGAGACUGCCGGUGACAAACCGGAGGAAGGUGGGGACGACGUCAAAUCAUCAUGCCCCUUAUGACCUGGGCUACACACGUG
rnacentral:rRNA from 1 species